UAAGGAAUAUUGGUCAAUGGGCGGAAGCCUGAACCAGCCAUGCCGCGUGCAGGAAGACGGCCCUACGGGUUGUAAACUGCUUUUGCAGGGGAAUAAACCUUCGUAUGUAUACGAAGCUGAAUGUACUCUGAGAAUAAGGAUCGGCUAACUCCGUGCCAGCAGCCGCGGUAAUACGGAGGAUCCAAGCGUUAUCCGGAUUUAUUGGGUUUAAAGGGUGCGUAGGUGGUUUUUUAAGUCAGGGGUGAAAGACGGCAGCUUAACUGUCGCAGUGCCUUUGAUACUGAAGAACUUGAAUUAACUAGAGGUAGGCGGAAUGUGACAAGUAGCGGUGAAAUGCAUAGAUAUGUCACAGAACACCAAUUGCGAAGGCAGCUUACUAUGGUUAUAUUGACACUGAGGCACGAAAGCGUGGGGAUCAAACA
rnacentral:rRNA from 1 species